CAUGUGUAAAGAAAAAAUAGGAGGAGGAAAUGAAAAGAGUGUCCUGCAAAGUGAACUUGAAAAUACGUUGAAAAGGAACUCUGGAAAGAGCUAGGGAAAAGCGUAAGAGAAGCACGCUGAGAAAAUGUAAUGGCUCUGCUGACGGAGAGCCUGCAUAGAGUAGGGGUCUUCCUGGAAUGGCCUGGUGCAUGCCAUCGAGUAUUCUUUCUUACAGCUAAGCUUCAGGGUGAGUUUAUUUGAGGGCCAACUAAGCUGCACACAAAGCCUGGAAAAGAAUUUGAGGCUAUCAACAGGGUCUACUGGGAUGCUCCACCAGAAGGAGACAGAAUGAAGGCUCAGAAGAAAGCUCCAAACGGCUUCUGGGGGAAUUGCACGCUCGUAUCUGAAGAGUUCACAGUGGCAAUCAAGUCCUGGAAAGAAGAUUUUGAUGAGAACAAAGCCGUUGAGGAAUUCUGCUGAGUCCUGUUAGAAUGAUGACUUGGAAUUGAUAUAAUGCCAAUACGUGUGGCAAGUCUGUUAAAAGCAGCCUUAUUGAUUUGGUUAUAGUGCUUCAUAGAUUUUCCAUAAAACUGCUUUUCGUGGACCAUAUAGGCAGACCAUGCAGGGCAGUCUCCUGUCAUGCUUUCGCACUGACAGCAUGCUGAUCACAAAGCAGAAGAGUGUUUGGAAGUGUUGUUAUUCUUUAGAGACUUUGAAUUGCCAAACUAGUGGUAAGUCUAGUCUACCCCCGACGAACGUUGGUUAAUAGUGUGACAAUUCCUAAAUAAAUUGCCUCACUGACCCUGCUCGUGGUCUUCUUCAGGGCGCCCCACUUAAGCCUGCAGCCAUCACCUUUCUUGGUACAGAGUUCCAUAGCAUGCUCAUUCCAAUCUGAGGCCUUAGGCUGUAAACCUCUGUUGUUCAUUGUGAUCUCCUUCAACAGGUCAGGUCAACACCUGCAGUUCCAUUCUCUGCAGCAUUAUAGUACACAUCUUGUUUCUGAAAAGCAAUGUGUUAUUUAAAACGAAACACUUCAGAGAAAUCAGUUUUUAAAAGAGCAAUCAGUCUGACAUGUCUCCAUGUCCACCUUUCUCAAGUCAGUGUUCUCUCUCUGUAAAUUUAAAGUCCUGUGCUAUGUCAGGUGUUUUGAACAAAGUGAAAUCACUCCUUCAACUCUCCUGAUUGGGGUUGAAAUACUGAAAGACUCAUCUCUUCUUUUAUUGUUAUCACCAUGCUUUAAAUAUCUCAAAUGUCUUCAUUUCCUGAAGGAUUCUUUCUUUAACUAUUUGGAAUACAAAUACAAUACAUGUUGCUGUAACCUUCUCAGAAACUUCUUGUCCCUGAGCGGAGGAAUGUGGCUUUAAGGUCUUCCUAUGCCCUCAAAUUUUGUUUAAUUUUAUGCAGGUAUCAGGAAUAUACUUCUUCAUUAUUCAAGAUGCUAAUACACUUGUUUAAAAAAAAUUAAAAAAGCUAAUUUAAUAGCAAAAAAUCAGUAGACUCCAUGUCACUAAUUUCUUUGAAGGUGUAUGGGUUUUAUCACUCUAUCACAAAUUUUGAAUGAAUGUCUUCCAAUAUGUAGAAAUCAGCAGACAGUAUGAGCUGUUGAUUGGUUCUAAAAUUGUCUUGACAAAUUGCAAUCUCAUAAAUAUUUUCUGUUUACCUUGAAGCUUGUUCUGAAUGCUAUUACUUCUGCUAUCUGUUUUUAAAA